rnacentral:lncRNA from 1 species
ACACCUCCUAGCAUCGCGUCCCCGCGUGGCCGCGGGGCGGGGCCCGGGGGGUCGUUCCGGAGUGGCCCCUGCAGGGCUUACAAACAGACGCGGCGGCUGCGAGAGGGGGACACGAUGACUUCUUUCUAGAGCAGGGACUUAGAGAACCGAGUCUUUAUGCAUGAAUGUACCUGCAUAACCAUUUGCUAAAUAGGGCCCGGAGGAGGCUCAUAGGAGGGUGUAGGGGCAGGAGCCUUCUGGCUUUGAGCCCCAGGGUUGAAGCUGGAGCUUUCCCAGGUGGAGAAGACACAGCGAAGACCAGGGCGGGACGGCCCGUGGCAGGUGCCGCACACCGCGCCGUGGGCUGAGGGACAGGUCAGGACCCCAGGCACAGAGGUGUGCCCCUUUCAUGACACGUCACAGCAGAGCCCCACGAUGGCCUCUAAGUGUAAGUGGAGGGAAGAGUUGCUGGUCUCUCGCUUUAAAUCACAAGCUGGACAUGGCUAAGCUGAGUGAGGCAGGCAGGUGAAGGCCAAGGUCGAUAGCUAGGCCUCUUGCACCAGUGAGCCAAGUUAUGAAUACCCAGGAAAUGUCCUUGAAGGAAGUUAAAAUGCUACUCCAGUGGACACACAGUUGCCAACAAGUGAAACUGCCUCCUUGCUGAUGUGGAGAAAGUUCGAGUGGUCCGGACAGAAGAUCAAACCAGCCAUGACCCUCCCUUAAGCCAGAGCCUCGACCAGAGCAAGGCCCUAACUCUCUCCAACUCCACAAAGGUGGAGAGGGUGAGGAAGCUGCAGAAGAAAAGUCUGAAGUCCACAGAGGUUGGUUCAUGAGGUUUAAGGAAAGAAGCCGUCUCCGUAAGGUAAAGAUGUGGCUUCUUCGCAGGCUGCCAGGGUGAGGCCGCAUCAGGAGGCUACGUCUGCGGAGCCAUCCCAGGAGCAAUGGGCAGCGUCUGUGGGUCUAGUGGCGAGGUCUCUAGUUCUGAGUCUCCAGGGAGAGGUGCGCAGGGAGCCCAGGGCCCCCCUUCCCCCACGGCACACAAACGUCUAUCUCCCCGCAGCCUGCACCGAUCCCUCGUGAACCACGGGACCGCGUGCGGUUAUUCUCAGCUCAGAGAUAGGCCCUAGACUGGAGCCCAGCUGCACACACCUCAAAACGAACGUCCGAGACUCCAGGGCUGCAGUCACUCUUGGACGAAUUCUAAGGUCAUCCCAGUCCUCUCAGGGGAGAGGGCACAGGCUGCAGGACCCGGUGACCAGCGUGAGUCCAGAAGGGUAGGGCCAAGGGGUCAGAGCCACCACCCCAGCCACCUCAGAACCAGAGCAGCCCUGGGCGUCCCGCUGUGGGCCUCGAGACCCCAGCAUGAUUCCGGGUAAAGAAUUUCCACUGUCAAGAAGUGUAAACAUGAUUAUCUGAGGUGCAAUGGCCAUAUUUUCAAACCAAACUUCAGAAGGGGCGUGGCAGUACUGAAUUCUGCCUGGGUGUGGUUUUUCCAGGCAGCAGCCCCCAACGGGUUUUCUUUUCUUUUCUUUUUGACAUAGGGUCUCACUCUGUUGCCCAGGCUGGGCAGCCUCAACCUUCCAGGCUCCAGAGAUCCUCCCACCUCGGUCUCCCUAGUAGCUGGGACUACAGGCAUGCGCCACCAUGCCCAGCUAAUUUCUAAACUUAUUUUUGUAGAGAUGAGGUUUCUCUCAGUUGACCAAGCUGGUCUUGAACUCCUGGCCUCAAGUGAUCCUCCUGCCUCGGCCUCCCAAAGAUCUGGGAUGGCAAGCUUGAGCUGUGGCCAGCCUUGACCAGGUUUCCCAUGGGCCUGGGGUGUGCUUGUCUCCAGCAGCUCUGAAGCGCCUCUCUUCCAACUCCACUCCAGUUCCAGCAGCACAGAGACCCAGAUGGGCAUCCAUCCACGCUGGGGUCAGGCCCAUGCGCCAAGCUCCUCUGAGUAGCCUGAGUCCUCAGCCAUGGUGACCCCACGUGGAAAAGUCUUGAAACUGACGUCUCAAAGAGGAUGAUGUGUGAGCGACCGUGACAGCAGCACAAAUCCCAGGUGGACAGGACACUCCGGCUGCCCCGAGUGGCCGAGGACGGGUCGGCAUCUCCUGGCAUUUUUGUCCGUUUUGGUGGCAGGUGAGCCCAGCACGUAGGGAGGGAUGGGCAGCCCACAGCCGGGACUGGACGACUCAGAAGUUCCGGCUAAGGUAGGAUAACUUGGGCAGGCUUCCCGAGUCCCUCCCAGCUGCGGUCCCCUGGCCCCCACUUGCUCAGUGGCCAGGUGUGGGAGGAGCCAGCGGCCCUGUGCCAAGGGAGCACGAGUUGGGGCGUGUGGGGAUGGGAGGCCGGGUCGAAGGCCGCCUUUCAGUGCAGGGAAGGACCUGAUACCACAGUCCAGCAGCAGAGGGAAAGCCAGGCCAGGGGUUUGAGGCCAGAGAUCUCAGAACCUUGGGAGCCAGCUGCUAGUCUGCAUUUCAGGGUGCCAGGAGUCCCUGGAGACGGGGAUGGAGCCCUGUGGGUGGAGACAGCAGGACUUCAGGUCACCAAUGAGGCCAGGGUGCUGGUGCUCAGGGUCCCAGCUGUGGGGGUCUCAGUUCUCCCAGCCCUGCUCCCAGGCUGACCCUCCAGGCCAGCCCCUCUCUGUAGGUCUGAGGAGGGUCCUUAUGGAGCACAGGUGGGGCUGGGGAAAUGGCACAUGUCUCCGCAAAGCUCCUGUGCCUCCUUUGCUCCGGAGAGCCUGCUCCUUCACAGAGGGCGUCUGAUACAGCCUGAGAGGGGCACUGUGGGGGUGACAGUCAUGGGGGGCGGUCCACAGGGGGUGCAUCCUACCAGCAGCCACAGUCUGAGGGGUAUAGUCCAUGAUGGGCACAGUCCUGGGGGGACACAGUCCUGGGUGUGCAUUCUGGUGCCUGCUCUGCUGCACACCCUGCACUGAAGCUGAUUGCUCCCGCUGAGACCCCAUGUCAGGCACAUCAUCAUGUUGCAUAGGAAGUCCUGUGACCAGGGCCCAAGGACCACAGAGGCUGAGCCAGGCGGCCACCUUGGCCACGGCCUCCCCAAGACACGACAUGCUUUGAGGUGUGAGUUGGUGCUGGCCCUGCCAUGUGGCUGCCACCACACCGCUUCCAGACCAUGAGGCCCCUCACACACGUGUGGCCAGAGUGUCCGCACGGCCCAGGGACAGGAGCGUGUGCCCUCCAGGAGGCUGUUCUGAGGCUGCGUGGCAGGGCAUGGUGUCCCCUCCACAGGGGCACCCUGCCUGGGCUGCGAGGAUGCAGGGUGUUGUGGGUGGAGCCUGGAUGGAGCAAGGACCAUGCUCUGUCCUCCGUGCAGGGAGCUUGGGUCCUGGGAGAGGAGCAAGGUUCAGGCCAUGCUGUCACUGGGAGAUGACAACUUCAUUCCCCAGCAACCGCAAUGCUUGGCAGAUGAUGGCAAUGCUGGGAGCCAAUGGGACAUGCAUGGACAAACCAUGCAGAAAGCCACGUGUGCUCAGCUUCUAGAGGCCACAACGUUCCCGGCUCCUGGCCCCUCCUGCCUGUUGAAGCCAGCAGCAGCCACCAGCUGAGUUUCCACCCUCGUGUCUCCCUGGACUCUCGUCUUCUGCCUCCCUCCUCUCCUUUUCUGGACUCUUGUAACUCGGGGGAUCCACCCGGAUGAUCCAGACAAUGUCCCCAUGUUAGGGUCACUCAGUUCCCUCUGCCAUGCAAAGUAACACAUUUGCAGGUCAGAGGGUUUAGGGCGUGGAUGUCUUGGGGUGCAUCUCGGGCGUGCCCCCCACGUGGGGGUCUCUUCCAACGGUGGUGUUGCCCUCACACAGUCUCCAAAAGCGUCCCGGUGCCUGCGGCCUCCUCAGCCUCACACCCGGAGUUGAGCUUUGCAGUGGGUGUGCCUGUCCAGCUCAGGGUGACCUGUGGGUGACCAACACAGGGUGGGGGCUGCAGCUGAAAAGUGGGGCCAGAUGCUGAGAGCACAGACCUGGGAUUAAACCAGCUGGCCAGGUGAGGGAUCGCCUUCUCCAU